AUGAAAUGAACCUUGAGGCUGUCGCUGGCCCCUCUGGGGCAUGUGCACGUCUCUGGUCAUUACUAAUUCCACCUGUGCACACUUGUAGACACUUGGGAAUGAGAGACCUUGACCAGUCUCUUGAGAAAUUGAACAUCUGGGUGUCUAUGCCAUUUUAUUAAACACUAGUUGCAUGUUUAUAGAAUGAUGAUUUGAUUAAAUAUAAAGUA
rnacentral:misc_RNA from 1 species